UUUCUGUAGGUGAACCUGCGGAAGGAUCAUUAUCGUACAAAAUAUGAGGGGCAUGCGAGGGCUGUCGCCUACCCAAAAGUCGUGGACGCCCGAGUGUGUCCUCUUGCAUAAUAAUCCAUCUCACCCUUUGUGCAUCACCGCGUGGGCACCCUUCGGGAUCAUCUCGGAGGCGGGCUCGCGUUUUCACACAAACCCCCCUUUUAAAAGUGUAGAAUGACCACAUUUAUGCAAUCAAUACAACUUUCAACAACGGAUCUCUUGGCUCUC
rnacentral:misc_RNA from 1 species